GGAUCCAGGCUUUGAUUCUGGCUCGGGAUGAACGCUAGCUACAGGCUUAACACAUGCAAGUCGAGGGGCAGCGGGAUUGAAGCUUGCUUCAAUUGCCGGCGACCGGCGCACGGGUGAGUAACGCGUAUCCAACCUUCCGUACACUCAGGGAUAGCCUUUCGAAAGAAAGAUUAAUACCUGAUGGUAUGAUGAGAUUGCAUGAUAGCAUCAUUAAAGAUUUAUCGGUGUACGAUGGGGAUGCGUUCCAUUAGGUAGUAGGCGGGGUAACGGCCCACCUAGCCAACGAUGGAUAGGGGUUCUGAGAGGAAGGUCCCCCACAUUGGAACUGAGACACGGUCCAAACUCCUACGGGAGGCAGCAGUGAGGAAUAUUGGUCAAUGGACGAGAGUCUGAACCAGCCAAGUAGCGCGAAGGAUGAAGGUCUUACGGAUUGUAAACUUCUUUUAUAUGGGAAUAAACCCUCCCACGUGUGGGAGCUUGUAUGUACCUUAUGAAUAAGCAUCGGCUAACUCCGUGCCAGCAGCCGCGGUAAUACGGAGGAUGCGAGCGUUAUCCGGAUUUAUUGGGUUUAAAGGGAGCGCAGACGGGUCGUUAAGUCAGCUGUGAAAGUUUGGGGCUCAACCUUAAAAUUGCAGUUGAUACUGGCGUCCUUGAGUGCGGUUGAGGUGUGCGGAAUUCGUGGUGUAGCGGUGAAAUGCUUAGAUAUCACGAAGAACUCCGAUUGCGAAGGCAGCACACUAAUCCGUAACUGACGUUCAUGCUCGAAAGUGUGGGUAUCAAACAGGAUUAGAUACCCUGGUAGUCCACACGGUAAACGAUGGAUACUCGCUGUUGGCGAUAUACUGUCAGCGGCUUAGCGAAAGCGUUAAGUAUCCCACCUGGGGAGUACGCC
rnacentral:rRNA from 1 species